rnacentral:rRNA from 1 species
GAUGAACGCUGGCAGCGUGCCUAACACAUGCAAUUCGAACGAAGCACCUUACCUGAUUCUUCGGAUGAAGGCUUGGUGACUGAGUGGCGGACGGGUGAGUAACGCCUGGGAAAACUGCCCUGUACAGGGGGAUACCAGUUGGAAACGGCUGCUAAUACCGCACAAGCGCACGAGAGGACAUCCUGUCGUGUGAAACACUCCGGUGGUACAGGAUGGGCCCGCGUCGGAUUAGGUGGUUGGCAGGGUAACGGCCUACCAAGGCGACAAUCAGUAGCCGGUCUGAGAGGAUGAGCGGCCACAGUGGAACUAAGACACGGUCCAAACUCUUACGGGAGGCAGCAGUGGGGAAUAUUGCACGAUGGGGGAAACCCUGAUGCAGCAACGCCGCGUGAGUGAAGAAGUAUUUCGGUAUGUAAAGCUCUAUCAGCAGGGAAGAUAAUGACGGUACCUGACUAAGAAGCUCCGGCUAAAUACGUGCCAGCAGCCGCCGUAA